AUUGAACGCUGGCGGCAGGCCUAACACAUGCAAGUCGAGCGAGCGGCGGACGGUUGAGUAAUGUCUGGGAAACUGCCUGAUGGAGGGGGAUAACUACUGGAAACGGUAGCUAAUACCGCAUACCAUCAGAUGUGCCCAGAUGGGAUUAGCUAGUAGGUGGGGUAAGCGCCCACCUAGGCGACGAUCCCUAGCUGGUCUGAGAGGAUGACCAGCCAGACGGGAACUUAGACAGUGUACAGACUCUUACGGGAGGAAGCAGUGGGGAAUAGUGCACAAUGGGCGCAAGACUGAUGCAGCCAUGCCGCGUGUGUGAAGAAGGCCUUGGGGGUGUAGAGCACUUUCAGCGGGGAGGAGUUACCCGCAGAAGAAGCACCGGAGAACUCCGUGCCAGCAGCCGCGGUAAUAC
rnacentral:rRNA from 1 species